rnacentral:lncRNA from 1 species
GGCCGUGACCCACAGCAGUGUCCACAUGAUGGCAGGGAACCUGUGGCCCUGGCUACAGCAGCACAGCGUGUAAUCCGGAUGUCACGUCAGGUGAACGAUCUUAUCUGGCCUGAAGUCCUAUGGCGGCAAUGCACGACCGCAUUGGGGAGGCUGAGGUUCAGGGCAAGAGCCUUUAUGGAAAGGGCAGUAACAGGCACAAGGAGGACCCAGUGAAGGAGGGAUUGGAUCCAGUUCAUCUGAAUGCUGUAAUUGGUUACAUCCUCCAGCAAGUUCAGGA